rnacentral:lncRNA from 1 species
AGGCAUGCUAUGAGGAAUGGGGGCAGGCAUUCAUUGAUUUUCAUGGAUUUAUCUUGUUUACUAGUUUUCAUUAUUUUUCUUCUAUUUGAUCAAUUUAAACCGACCGUGCUGUAAAAUAGCUGGUUGAACAGUUCAACAGGAACCGACAAAUGGGCAUAACUGCACCGAGCUCCUAUGUCUGUGUCCUAUCAAAAGACAAGGCUGUAGGGUCAUAUAUGGAAAGCCUCUGAUCAUAGAUCUACUCAUUCAGGGUUGACUUGGGAUUAAGCACCAACAUGCCACUAAAAAUAUUUGUCUGAUUAGAGUUACUGAGCUUUAAGCCCAUCUUUUUCCUGGCUACCAUCGAUCACAAAGCUUUAUGACACAAGCCGACAACAGACCACCAAACUUCUUUGUGGUUGCUUGACCAACUAGAAAUAGAAGCCAAAUCCUUUUUAAAAAAAACAGAAAAGGAAGGCUACAUUGGGCAAUGUAGUCACGGAUACAGUGUUAGAAGAUGAGAUUGGAUGGUCAUGGUUGGAAUAUCUUUGGUCACAGAUUUGCUAAAUCCAAGCUUACUUGGGAGACUAAACAACAACUUUCCUACACAACAGGGUAACCAACUUAUUUCUUGUUAGAUGCUAGGAAUAUUCUCUGUCUCCCUCUCUGUUACCUUAUUGUCCUAGUUCCAUGGAGUAUCACACUUCUGGCACACAAAACCUAGUUUAAUUCACGUUUCGUUUUUUUUUUUUUUAUUUGUUUGUUUAUUUUGUGGGGAAAGAGAAAAAAUUAUUUUUGCUGUCCAACAAUAAUACAAAUUCAUUUCUUCAAUUUCAAGCAGUUUCUCUAAAACUUUAAACAAAUCAAUGGCCUCAGUCAUGGACAGCAGCUUAUGGCCUGAAAAACUAAGGAAAAAUUACCUUAAUCCCUUUUUGUUACCAUAUUUCUGUUGAAAUGUGAAGGUGCAUGGCUCAGUGGCUAGAGCAUCAGGCUCACAAUCAUGUUGUAGUGAGUGUGAUUCCCAUACCACAUUGCUCCAGUUCACUCAGCUGUAGAAAUGAGUUAUGAUGUCACUGGU